GGACCCGCACAAGCGGUGGAUGAUGUGGAUUAAUUCGAUGCAACGCGAAGAACCUUACCUACCCUUGACAUGUACGGAACUUGGCAGAGAUGCCUUGGUGCCCGAAAGGGAGCCGUAACACAGGUGCUGCAUGGCUGUCGUCAGCUCGUGUCGUGAGAUGUUGGGUUAAGUCCCGCAACGAGCGCAACCCUUGCCACUAGUUGCUACAUUUAGUUGAGAACUCUAGUGGGACUGCCGGUGACAAACCGGAGGAAGGUGGGGACGACGUCAAGUCCUCAUGGCCCUUAUGGGUAGGGCUUCACACGUCAUACAAUGGCGCGUACAGAGGGUUGCCAACCCGCAAGGGGAGCUAAUCCCAGAAAGCGCGUCGUAGUCCGGAUUGUUCUCUGCAACUCGAGAACAUGAAGUCGGAAUCGCUAGUAA
rnacentral:rRNA from 1 species